UUACAGCAGCCCGACUUGAGCGGAAAUCCUUUUUUGCCGGUUCUCGGUUUUUAUUUUAUGUGAAAAUCUUCUGCAAAAAAGAUUGGGAGCGGAAGGCGGAUUAAGCU
rnacentral:sRNA from 1 species